AGAAAAGAUUACUUUGCUUACUACAGAGAUCAAAGAUAAAGAGGUGAGUCUUCGGAGUAACACCUCUAAACUAGCUGAAAAAGAAUCGGAGGUAAAUAGUUUGAGCGAUAUGUAUCAACAAUCCCAGGAUCAGCUGAUGAAUUUGACUUCAGAGAUCAAAGAACUUAAAGAUGAAAUCCAGAAAAGAGAGAGAGAACUGGAGUUGAAAUGUGUAUCAGAAGACAACCUGAAUGUGCAAUUAAAUUCUUUGCUCCUCGAGAGAGAUGAAUCUAAAAAAGAGCUUCAUGCUAUUCAAAAGGAAUACAGUGAGUUCAAGUCCAAU
rnacentral:misc_RNA from 1 species